rnacentral:misc_RNA from 1 species
UGCCAAGUGCAGCAGGGCAGAAUG